GGCGUCGAAGGGCUGACCAGAGCUUAAUCUGGAAGACAAAUCCAAUUUUGGAGGCGUCGAAGGGCGGACCAGAGCCUUAAUCUGGUAGGUUAUCUCUUCGGAGGUGCCGCUGGUGUUAACCCAGUUUCCAGGUUGUCGGAAACCAAAAUGGGCAGUAGUCGCGGACUACAUUCAGCCGAUCAAAGCUGCAAAUUGUAACAGAUUUGAAAUUUGAACCACGGGAUGGGCUAGUGUCCGAGGCUAGCCCAAUGAGGUUGGCCCCCUUUAGUGGGAGUAUCGUGGUGGCUGUGGUGUUACCCGCUGUGUCUCCACUAUAGUUGGAGCACAGCUGCUGGGUCCAAUGUGUAUUUGGACCACAGCCGGAAGCUGUACCCGUAGUCAGCAGAGGUUAUGAUAGGCCUCGCCUCGACCCAAGAGGGAAUUGUGUCCGACAACACAAUUCGAGUUGGUAGCUAAAAGCGUUCUUUUAGGGGCGUUGGUGGACGCAUUGUUUUCACCCGCUGUACUAUGUGUCACAUAUGUGGCACAUGCGAGUACCGUGGUUGUAAACCCCCAUCGGGGUACACGUCACGUUAAACAAAUCAAGGAUUCUGUCCCUAUCUACUAUCUAGCGAAACCACAGCCAAGGGAACGGGCUUGGAAUAAUUAGCGGGGAAAGAAGACCCUUUUGAGCUUGACUCUAAUCUGGCAGUGUAAGGAGACAUAAGAGGUGUAGAAUAAGUGGGAGAUAUUAGGCUUCGGUUUGAUAUCGCCAAUGAAAUACCACUACUCUUAUUGUUUCCUUACUUACUUGAUUAAGUGGAACGUGUAUCAUUUCCUAGCCAUUAUACGGAUAUAUUAAUUAUGUCUUAUGGUAUUGGGUUUUGAUGCAAGCUUCUUGAUCAAAGUAUCACGAGUUUGUUAUAUAAUCGCAAACAAAUUCUUUAAUGAGAAAAUGCAGCAAUGUGUUUUUGAUUUAAUAAUUUGGUAUAACUCCAAUUACUCAGGUAUGAUCCAAUUCAAGGACAUUGCCAGGUAGGGAGUUUGACUGGGGCGGUACAUCUCUCAAAUAAUAACGGAGGUGUCCCAAGGCCAGCUCAGUGCGGACAGAAACCACACAUAGAGCAAAAGGGCAAAUGCUGACUUGAUCUCGGUGUUCAGUACACACAGGGACAGCAAAAGCUCGGCCUAUCGAUCCUUUUGGUUUAAAGAGUUUUUAACAAGAGGUGUCAGAAAAGUACCA
rnacentral:ncRNA from 1 species